rnacentral:rRNA from 1 species
AUUGAACGCUAACGGCGUGCUUAACACAUGCAAGUCGAGCGGCAGCACAGUAGUAGCAAUACUAUGGGUGGCGAGCGGCGGACGGGUGAGUAAUACAUAGGAAUCUGCCUUAUAGUGGGGGAUAACCCGGGGAAACUCGGGCUAAUACCGCAUAAUCUCUACGGAGAAAAGUAUGGGACCUUCGGGCCAUAUGCUCAAAGAUGAGCCUAUGUUGGAUUAGCUAGUUGGUAGGGUAAAGGCCUACCAAGGCAACGAUCCAUAGCUAGUCUGAGAGGAUGAUCAGCCACACUGGGACUGAGACACUGCCCAGACUCCUACGGGAGGCAGCAGUGGGGAAUAUUGGACAAUGGGCGCAAGCCUGAUCCAGCAACGCCGUGUGUGUGAAGAAGGCCUUAGGGUUGUAAAGCACUUUAGUGGGGAAGAAAAGUUCAUGGCUAAUAUCCAUGAAUGCUGACGUUACCCACAGAAAAAGCACUGGCUAACUCUGUGCCAGCCGCCGCAGUAA